UCCAGACUCCUACGGGAGGCAGCAGUGGGGAAUAUUGCACAAUGGGGGAAACCCUGAUGCAGCGACGCCGCGUGAGCGAAGAAGUACCUCGGUAUGUAAAGCUCUAUCAGCAGGGAAGAAAGUGACAGUACCUGACUAAGAAGCCCCGGCUAACUACGUGCCAGCAGCCGCGGUAAUACGUAGGGGGCAAGCGUUAUCCGGAUUUACUGGGUGUAAAGGGAGCGUAGACGGCUGUGCAAGUCUGAAGUGAAAGCCCAGGGCUCAACCCUGGGACUGCUUUGGAAACUGUGGUGCUAGAGUGCUGGAGAGGUAAGUGGAAUUCCUAGUGUAGCGGUGAAAUGCGUAGAUAUUAGGAGGAACACCAGUGGCGAAGGCGGCUUACUGGACAGUAACUGACGUUGAGGCUCGAAAGCGUGGGGAGCAAACAGGAUUAGAUACCCUGGUAU
rnacentral:rRNA from 1 species